GGGGAAUUUUGGACAAUGGGCGCAAGCCUGAUCCAGCCAUGCCGCGUGCGGGAAGAAGGCCUUCGGGUUGUAAACCGCUUUUGUCAGGGAAGAAAUCUUCUGGGUUAAUACCUCGGGAGGAUGACGGUACCUGAAGAAUAAGCACCGGCUAACUACGUGCCAGCAGCCGCGGUAAUACGUAGGGUGCAAGCGUUAAUCGGAAUUACUGGGCGUAAAGCGUGCGCAGGCGGUCUUGCAAGACAGGUGUGAAAUCCCCGGGCUUAACCUGGGAACUGCACUUGUGACUGCAAGGCUGGAGUACGGCAGAGGGGGAUGGAAUUCCGCGUGUAGCAGUGAAAUGCGUAGAUAUGCGGAGGAACACCGAUGGCGAAGGCAAUCCCCUGGGCCUGUACUGACGCUCAUGCACGAAAGCGUGGGGAGCAAACAGGA
rnacentral:rRNA from 1 species